UUUUCUUCUUGGCGGGUCGCGCCUUGUUCUGACCCCCGUUCUGCUGCUGCUGUUGUUGCUGACGACACUUGGCCCGCCGGUUCUUGAACCACACCUGCAACGAGGCCACAAACGGGAAAUUGAAGACGAGUCCUACUUGGAAUUUCAACGAGCGGUCGCGCUAAAACGUGAGUGGGGGAAAAAGUAAACCCACCUUGCUCUUGGAGAGUGCAAACGCUUUUUUGCGUGUCCUCCCGAACGAGUGAGGAAAGUCAAGUGAGAGCAACGACGUCCUGCUCAAUAUCGACAAAGAUGCCCCAGAAC